ACACAAUUUCAGUUGCAAUAAACAUUUCUGGGAUGCUGGCGGCAAGUUCGGAAUUAUGGCGUCAUUUUCUAAAAUAUUUCUACUACUAUUGAGCGCAUUUAUAAAGCUGCAUUGCAUUUGUUCACAACCGCUAAAAGAUUCCUAUGUAUGGGGGCAGGAGCCGCCAAAAGCCAAAAAUGACUCGAUGCUAGAAAGAGUUCCCUUGGUUGUCGUGUUCGUGUUCAUUUCAAUAUGUGUUCUCUGGUUCGCAGCAGUAUUUAUAUCUUUGUGUUGUUCAAAUGUGUGUUGCUGUAAGCAAAUGCCACGCAGAAACGGCGUAACUGUGUAUAUAAUACAGAACUGAGCAUUCAAUCAGUUCGGAUUGUGAAAUUAUAACCUUAGAUUUAAUAUGUGUAUAUUUUUUUACAAAUAUUUAUAAAUUAAUAUAAACUAAACUUGUAAUUAAAAUAGAACAUUUUAUAUUAUAUUGCUGCUGCAAUUGAAUUCAAAGUGCGUUAUUCGAUGAAAACGUGAAGGGAUUGCAACCACAUUUUGUAUUCUAUUAACCUGUACUAUAGACCAUAAUCUUGCUUACCUCAAAUACUAAAUUGUAUUUUAUGUACGAAAAUAUCAUAUGUCAGCCUACCUAACAUAACUAUUAUAGAAUAUAAUAUUAACCUUGCAAAACUCGA